CGUAAGGAAUCUGCCUAUCAGAGGGGAAUAACAGUGAGAAAUCACUGCUAAUACCGCAUAUGCCAUAUGGUUCGCAUGAACCAAGUGGGAAAGAAACAAUUCGCUGAUAGAUGAGCUUGCGGCUGAUUAGCUAGUUGGUGGGGUAAGGGCCUACCAAGGCAACGAUCAGUAGCCGGACUGAGAGGUUGAACGGCCACAUUGGGACUGAGAUACGGCCCAGACUCCUACGGAAGGCAGCAG
rnacentral:rRNA from 1 species